rnacentral:rRNA from 1 species
GAUGAACGCUGGCGGCGUGCCUAAUACAUGCAAGUCGAGCGAACAGACGAGGAGCUUGCUCCUCUGACGUUAGCGGCGGACGGAUGAGUAACACGUGGAUAACCUACCUAUAAGACUGGGAUAACUUCGGGAAACCGGAGAUACUACCGGAUAAUAUAUUGAACCGCAUGGUUCAAUAGUGAAAGACGGUUUUGCUGUCACUUAUAGAUGGAGUCGCGUCGCAUUAGCUAGUUGGUAAGGUAACGGCUUACCAAGGCAACGAUGCGUAGCUGACCUGAGAGGGUGAUCGGCCACACUGGAACUGAGACACGGUCCAGACUCCUACGGGAGGCAGCAGUAGGGAAUCUUCCGCAAUGGGCGAAAGCUUGACCGAGCAACGCCGCGUGAGUGAUGAAGGUCUUCGGAUCGUAAAACUCUGUUAUUAGGGAAGAACAAAUGUGGAAGUAACUAUGCACGUCUUGACGGUACCUAAUCAGAAAGCCACGGCUAACUACGUG